UGUGUGUGUGUGUGUGUGUGGUGUGUGGUGUGUGGUGUGUGGUGUUGUGUGUGGUGUGUGUGGUGUGUGGUGUGUGGUGUGUGGUGUGUGUGUGUGUGUGUGUGUGUGUGUGUGUGUGUGUGUGUGUGUGUGUGUAGUGUGUGUGUGUGUGUGUGUGUGUGUGUGUGUGUGUGGAUUUUCCUUUUUGGUUUGUCUCAGCAUGAACUCAACAGAUUCUUCCAAAACAACAACGAUACUGUUUUCCACAUUGCUUCUAAAUAUGAAAACACAUGUCCACACAUCUCUAUUAUAAUAUAAAUAUAAGAACAAAAUGUUUGGCCAGUAUGGCCCUAACAACCUGGUAACUUUAAUAUUAUUCAAACAUUUGGUGACACAGAAAGAAAGGGAACAUUACAGAAAGAAAGGAGAUAUUACUGCACUGUUGGAGCUGGAACACAAGCAUUUCACUACUCUCUCACAUACAUCUGAUAAAUGUGUACGUGACCAAUACAAUGUAGUUUGAUUUGAUUUGUAAAGGAUAUCAUAAAGACCCAAUGUAGGCUACAUCUCAAUCAAUAGAAAAAUGUUUUGCAAAUCUAUUGAAAAUUAAAUACAGAAAUCAAAUUUGCAUAAGUAUUCACACCCCUGAGUCUAUACUUGUAGAAGCACCUUUGGCAGCGAUUACAGAUUUGCUUUGUCUUGGGUUUGUUUGUAUCAGCUUUGCACAUCUGGAUUAGGGUUUUUUCUCCCAUUCUUCCUUUUAUCACGCUCUGUUAAAUAAGAUGGGGAGAGGUGAAAAACAGCAAUCUUCAAGUCCUUCAAUCCACAGAUUUUCAAUGGGUUCAAGUCUGGGCUUUGGCUGGGCCACUCAAGGACUUUCACAUUCUUGUUCUGAAGUCAUUCCAGUAUUGCUUUAGCUGUAUGCUUGGGGUCAUUGUCUUGUUGGAACAUAAAUAUUUGCCUCAGUCUGUAAGGGUUUUCCUGUGGUGAAGGAGAGGCGGACCAAAACGCAGCGUGGUUAUAUUGAUUCAUGUUUAAUAAAAAAAGUAAACAUGAACACUACAAAACAAUAAACGUGGAAAACCAAAAACAGCCCUGUCUGGAGCAAAAUACAGAGACAGGAACAAUCACCCACAAACACACAGUGAAACCCAGGCUACCUAAAUAUGAUUCUCAAUCAGAGACAACUAAUGACACCUGCCUCUGAUUGAGAACCAUACUAGGCCGAAACAUAGAAAUACCCAAAACAUAGAAAAACAAACAUAGACUGCCCACCCAACUCAUGCCCUGACCAUACUAAAAUAAUGACAAAACAAAGGAAAUAAAGGUCAGAACGUGACACAGUCUAUAGUUAGGAUUAUAGGAUUUGCCUGUAUUUGGAUCCAUUCAUUGUUCCCUCUGUCCUUGCCAGUCUCCCAGUACAUGCCGCUGAAAAACAUCCCCAUAGCAUGAUGCUGUGCCUGGUUUUCUCAACAUGGUCUCAGAGCAUUUCGUAUUGUUUUGUGCGUAUAUAAAACCAAAACACUCCAUUUACUAUGAUAUGUUACGUUUCGUAUGGUAUCUUCAUUUGUGAAUGUCCAUUAUCCAUUUUGUAUGAUAUAUUAUGAAUAACAAUUCACACGAUAUGUUUUGAAUUUGUUAAACGUAUCAUAUAUGUCACGAAUUACAAUUUGUUGUUGCUAACAGCUAGGUGGCUAACGCUAACUAGCUCUAGGGGUUAAG
ensembl:lncRNA